GAUGAACGCUGGCGGCGUGCCUAAUACAUGCAAGUCGAGCGAACAGACGAGGAGCUUGCUCCUCUGACGUUAGCGGCGGACGGGUGAGUAACACGUGGAUAACCUACCUAUAAGACUGGGAUAACUUCGGGAAACCGGAGCUAAUACCGGAUAACAUGUUGAACCGCAUGGUUCAACAGUGAAAGACGGUCUUGCUGUCACUUAUAGAUGGAUCCGCGCCGCAUUAGCUAGUUGGUAAGGUAACGGCUUACCAAGGCAACGAUGCGUAGCCGACCUGAGAGGAUGAUCGGCCACACUGGAACUGAGACGCGGUCCAGACUCCUACGGGAGGCAGCAGUAGGGAAUCUUCCGCAAUGGGCGAAAGCCUGACGGAGCAACGCCGCGUGAGUGAAGAAGGUCUUCGGAUCGUAAAACUCUGUUAUUAGGGAAGAACAAAUGUGUAAGUAACUAUGCACGUCUUGACGGUACCUAAUCAGAAAGCCACGGCUAACUACGUG
rnacentral:rRNA from 1 species